rnacentral:rRNA from 1 species
GUGGGGAAUAUUGGACAAUGGGGGGAACCCUGAUCCAGCCAUGCCGCGUGUGUGAAGAAGGCCUUUUGGUUGUAAAGCACUUUAAGCGAGGAGGAGGCUUACCUGGUUAAUACCUGGGAUAAGUGGACGUUACUCGCAGAAUAAGCACCGGCUAACUCUGUGCCAGCAGCCGCGGUAAUACAGAGGGUGCAAGCGUUAAUCGGAUUUACUGGGCGUAAAGCGCGCGUAGGUGGCUAAUUAAGUCAAAUGUGAAAUCCCCGAGCUUAACUUGGGAAUUGCAUUCGAUACUGGUUAGCUAGAGUAUGGGAGAGGAUGGUAGAAUUCCAGGUGUAGCGGUGAAAUGCGUAGAGAUCUGGAGGAAUACCGAUGGCGAAGGCAGCCAUCUGGCCUAAUACUGACACUGAGGUGCGAAAGCAUGGGGAGCAAACAGGAUUAGAUACCCCAGUAGUCC